UACGGAGGGUGCAAGCGUUAUCCGGAUUCACUGGGUUUAAAGGGUGCGUAGGCGGCGUGUUAAGUCAGCUGUGAAAUCUCCAAGCUUAACUUGGAACGGUCAGCUGAUACUGAUGUGCUAGAGUGCAGAAGGGGCAAUCGGAAUUCUUGGUGUAGCGGUGAAAUGCGUAGAUAUCAAGAGGAACACCUGAGGUGAAGACGGGUUGCUGGGCUGACACUGACGCUGAGGCGCGAAAGCUAGGGUAGCAAACGGG
rnacentral:rRNA from 1 species